rnacentral:rRNA from 1 species
GACGGAGGAUGCAGGCGUUAUCCGGAAUGAUUGGGCGUAAAGCGUCUGCAGGUGGCAGUUCAAGUCUGCUGUCAAAGACCGGGGCUUAACUUCGGAAAGGCAGUGGAAACUGAACAGCUAGAGUGUGGUAGGGGCAGAGGGAAUUCCUGGUGUAGCGGUGAAAUGCGUAGAGAUCAGGAAGAACAUCGGUGGCGAAGGCGCUCUGCUGGACCAUAACUGACACUCAGGGACGAAAGCUAGGGGAGCGAAUGGG